UUUUCACUUAGUGAUAAUCUUGUGUAGAAAUUCCAAAUGAAAAAACCUGUAGGAAGUAUGUGAUCCUCUUUGCUCACAUCUGUGAGCAUAUCACAGUCAAGGAUGAACCUAGCUGAGGACUUCACAGCAAGGAAAGAUGUUCUCACUAAAAUCACAGUGUUAGCAUUCUUGGCAGUUCAAUGGUCUCCGCUGUAGCUGUUGGUUUACAUUUUGAUAAUUUACCAAAGAGCAUAUCAUAUUUAAUAUCUAGCUGGAUUGUGCAACUGAACACAAUAUUUCCAGUGAAAUGCAUUGCCAUCGUGAAAGUAGGCCUUCUCUCUGGGAACCAGUGGCUCAUUUCUCGCCCAGUUCUUCUGUGGGUCUGAGCGUGACCCGUAGGUUAGAAGUUCUGGAAACCAGGGAGAGAGACACAUCAGGUCACUGUUAACGGGAAAAGAGGUGCUUCGUAUUCUUGUUCCUUUGUGGUCAGUCUUGUUUUCCUUUCUUGGUCUGGGGGUGUUUGGUCUUGCAAAUCCUGGCAUGGCUUAGAGAAGCAGGCACUGACCUUCGGAUGCACUCUUAUUUUACCCCAAGCAUAUUAUUAAUAGGCACCAUUCAUUGCCCUGUUUUUGUGGCUAAAAGUUUUCUGACUUCUAUACUGAGCCGUUGUGUUUCAGUUCAAUAGUGCAAAAGGGCUGGCAUUUUUUGGGGGGGAGGCAAGGGGGAACACCAUUGACC
rnacentral:lncRNA from 1 species